AGAGUUUGAUCCUGGCUCAGGACGAACGGCUGGCGGCGUGCUUAACACAUGCAAGUCGAACGGAACGCCUUGGAAAGAGAUUUCGGUCAAUGAAGGGUGUUUAGUGGCGGACGGGUGAGUAACGCGUGAGGAACCUGCCUUUCAGAGGGGGACAACAGUUGGAAACGACUGCUAAUACCGCAUAAUGCAUAGGUAUCGCAUGGUACAGAUGCCAAAGAUUUAUCGCUGAGAGAUGGCCUCGCGUCUGAUUAGCUAGUUGGUAGGGUAACGGCCUACCAAGGCGACGAUCAGUAGCCGGACUGAGAGGUUGGCCGGCCACAUUGGGACUGAGAUACGGCCCAGACUCCUACGGGAGGCAGCAGUGGGGAAUAUUGGGCAAUGGGCGCAAGCCUGACCCAGCAACGCCGCGUGAAGGAAGAAGGCUUUCGGGUUGUAAACUUCUUUUAACAGGGAAGAGCAGAAGACGGUACCCGUUGAAUAAGCCACGGCUAACUACGUG
rnacentral:rRNA from 1 species